GUCAGAAUGGCUGAGCGGUCUAAGGCGCCAGACUCAAGUUCUGGUGUCCAAAUGGAGCUGUGGGUUCAAAUCCCACUUCUGACA